rnacentral:misc_RNA from 1 species
GAUGAAGAACGCAGCGAAAUGCGAUAAGUAAUGUGAAUUGCAGAAUUCAGUGAAUCAUCGAAUCUUUGAACGCACAUUGCGCCCGCCAGUAUUCUGGCGGGCAUGCCUGUUCGAGCGUCAUUUCAACCAUCAAGCCCCGGGCUUGUGUUGGGGACCUGCGGCUCCCGCAGGCCCUGAAAUGCAGUGGCGGGCUCGCUGUCACUCCGAGCGUAGUAGUUACAUCUCGCUCUGGGCGUGCUGCGGGUUCCGGCCGUUAAAAGCCUUAUUUACCCAAGGUUGACCUCGGAUCAGGUAGGAAGACCCGCUGAACUUAAGCAUAUCAAUAAGCGGAGGA